rnacentral:rRNA from 1 species
UACAUGGGGGGCGAGCGUUAUCCGGAUUUAUUGGGCGUAAAGCGUGCGUAGGCUUUUUGUUAAGUCGAAUGUGAAAUGUCGAGGCUCAACCUCGUCCUGCAUUCGAUACUGGCAUAAUAGAGUAUGGUAGAGGUAAGUGGAAUUCCACAUGGAACGGUAAAAUGUCUAGAUAUGUGGAGGAACACCAGAGGCGAAGGCGGCUUACUAGGCCAGCACUGACGCUAAGGCACGAAAGCGUGGGUAGCAAACA